GGACUUCUGCUGGAUUGCCUAUUCAGCCAGCCUCCAUCUUUCCAGCACAUUUUGCAAUUGCAGAGUUGGAUGCUAUUCGAUCCGUUCUUAACGAGCGAGAGCGUCAUUGAAAGGCUGCAGAAGCAGGAGGAGAAUGUGCUUGGCGAGGUCCAACUUCCAAUAUACGUGUCCAAGGUAAAGCUGAACGGGCUCGUUUGUCUCGAUUACAGCAACCAAAGAAAUGAAGCGGUCCAUCAAUUCCUUCCAUUUGAUUUGACUAGUUAAGGUUUCAGGGAUGAUUUAAGCUGUAAUCAAUCUUUCGAGCGGUCCGUUCAUGCUGGAUGACCAUGUAUUGCCACAAAUCUCUGUGUGAUAUUUUUCCACGAUUACCUUAAAUCUGAGUUUUAUUCCAUCUUUA